rnacentral:rRNA from 1 species
GUGGGGUGAUGGCCUACCAAGGCUUUGACGGGUAGCCGGCCUGAGAGGGUGACCGGUCACAUUGGGACUGAGAUACGGCCCAGACUCCUACGGGAGGCAGCAGUGGGGAAUAUUGCACAAUGGGCGAAAGCCUGAUGCAGCGACGCCGCGUGAGGGAUGGAGGCCUUCGGGUUGUAAACCUCUUUCGCUCAUGGUCAAGCCGCAGCAUUGGUUGUGGUGAGGGUAGUGGGUAAAGAAGCGCCGGCUAACUACGUGCCAGCAGCCGCGGUAAUACGUAGGGCGCGAGCGUUGUCCGGAAUUAUUGGGCGUAAAGGGCUUGUAGGCGGUUGGUCGCGUCUGCCGUGAAAUCCUCUGGCUUAACUGGGGGCGUGCGGUGGGUACGGGCUGACUUGAGUGCGGUAGGGGAGACUGGAACUCCUGGUGUAGCGGUGGAAUGCGCAGAUAUCAGGAAGAACACCGGUGGCGAAGGCGGGUCUCUGGGCCGUUACUGACGCUGAGGAGCGAAAGCGUGGGGAGCGAACAGGAUUAGAUACCUUGGUAGUCCACGCUGUAAACGUUGGGCACUAGGUGUGGGGGCCACCCGUGGUUUCUGCGCCGUAGCUAACGCUUUAAGUG